rnacentral:rRNA from 1 species
UGGGGAAUAUUGGACAAUGGGGGCAACCCUGAUCCAGCAAUGCCGCGUGUGUGAAGAAGGUCUUCGGAUUGUAAAGCACUUUCGACGGGGACGAUGAUGACGGUACCCGUAGAAGAAGCCCCGGCUAACUUCGUGCCAGCAGCCGCGGUAAUACGAAGGGGGCUAGCGUUGCUCGGAAUGACUGGGCGUAAAGGGCGUGUAGGCGGUUUGUACAGUCAGAUGUGAAAUCCCCGGGCUUAACCUGGGAGCUGCAUUUGAUACGUGCAGACUAGAGUGUGAGAGAGGGUUGUGGAAUUCCCAGUGUAGAGGUGAAAUUCGUAGAUAUUGGGAAGAACACCGGUGGCGAAGGCGGCAACCUGGCUCAUUACU